AAGAUGGCGAUCAAAGCUCUGUUGAUGGCGAUGAUGAUGUAUGCCCUCAUCCUCGUGGCCAAGAAAGCUGACAUGCCUGAUCAGCCUACCACUCCAUGUCCAAUGUCACAAACAUCCACGUAAAGUCUUAGAGUCCACGGCUUUCUCAGAACCUCGAAAUCCAGGAUCUAGAAUCUGCCUAAAUGUGAUGUAAAUCUCCAUAUUUUAAAUUAUAAUUGUAUAC
rnacentral:lncRNA from 1 species